UUCAAUUAUUAACUGAAAAUU
rnacentral:piRNA from 1 species